rnacentral:rRNA from 1 species
AGUGAACGCUGGCGGUAGGCCUAACACAUGCAAGUCGAACGGCAGCACAGGAGAGCUUGCUCUCUGGGUGGCGAGUGGCGGACGGGUGAGGAAUACAUCGGAAUCUACCUUUUCGUGGGGGAUAACGUAGGGAAACUUACGCUAAUACCGCAUACGACCUACGGGUGAAAGUGGGGGGCCGCAAGGCCUCACGCGAUUAGAUGAGCCGAUGUCCGAUUAGCUAGUUGGCGGGGUAAUGGCCCACCAAGGCGACGACCGGUAGCUGGUCUGAGAGGAUGAUCAGCCACACUGGAACUGAGACACGGUCCAGACUCCUACGGGAGGCAGCAGUGGGGAAUAUUGGACAAUGGGCGCAAGCCUGAUCCAGCCAUACCGCGUGGGUGAAGAAGGCCUUCGGGUUGUAAAGCCCUUUUGUUGGGAAAGAAAUCCUGUCGAUUAAUACUCGGUGGGGAUGACGGUACCCAAAGAAUAAGCACCGGCUAACUUCGUGCCAGCAGCCGCCGUAAAAC